AAGUCGUAACAAGGUUUCCGUAGGUGAACCUGCGGAAGGAUCAUUAUUGGAGAGGGAUAAGAAAAGUGUAGUGUGAACAAGCCGAGAAGGAGGAGAUGGGUGGAUGUGGGAGAGAGGGUGAGGGAGAGAUGGAGGGAGAAAUGGUUGAUUGGACUAAUAUCUGAUUGGCAUUACUCUCUCUACUCUCUACAUUCAAACUUGAACCCACAAACACCCACUCACCCAAACAUUAUUAUAUAUCUAUUUUUUGACCAUGUGACCAUUAUAGUUGUUUGUGCUGUUCUGGAUAUUUACACCAUCCACACAGUGUCAACUACUACGAGUCUUGAAAAACUCUCAGCAAUGGAUCUCUUGGCUCCCA
rnacentral:misc_RNA from 1 species